rnacentral:sRNA from 1 species
ACCAGAGAGUCAAGGCAAGUUGGGCACAGCUAGGCCUAGCCAAGAGUGGGUGGAGGAGGGAGGCGGCCUGGGCUUGGAGUGAGCUGGAGUGAGCGGCUGCCAGGGAGGCAGGAAGUAGCUCUUGUAGAAUUAUAAAGGGAACCGCAGGGGAAGGGGGUUUCACCUGGUAAAUCUGCCAUCCUAGGCCCCUGGCCUCUGUUCCUUGGAGGGGAUCGGACAUUGUCCUGGAGCCCACGGCUUUCUGUUGGGAUUCUGGGGUCAGUGAGAAGGACAGAGGCCACGGAAGUAAGGACUGGUGAGCCAAGAGUUCAAGUGUGGAACUGCUGGGGGAUGCCCUCCUGUUUGACAUUCAGACAGAGGAGCCAUUCCCACCAUGGCCUGACCUCUGGGUAGGGUGCCUGCCUUCCUGUCCCAAGCUUCCCUGCCUGAGCUGAAGGGCAGAGGAGUGCAAGUGGCGGCCACAUAGAUGAGUACCACAAGGCAACUGGAGAUGAGACGCGUGCUUCUCUGGCCUCUUCCCUGCCCAUCAUGCAAUGCAGGAGUUACAUACAAAGCCUGUUGGCUGAAGGGCCUUUCUUUACUACCCGGUUUCCACACAACCAGGCUGGCAUUAGGGGAGUUGUUUCCCAUCUUGCGUUUGUCCCUUACAGAGUUCCCUAAGAGUGUCACACAACUUGGGAUUGUUAGAGAAGGACAGGAUCUGAGACUCCCUUACAGAGGUCUAAGUAGAGGCUCCCUCAAUCCUGUAAAGUCCUGCAUCUGGAGGGUUGGUUAUGUGACCUCAAGAAUCAAGUGGACACUCCACCAGCCCACACCUGAUCCUGGAACCUUCGUGAAAUGACACGUCCAGGAAGUGUUUUAAGCUUGCUUACUUCCUGUUCCCUAGCCACAACUGUGUGGGUCUGAGGUGAGGUAGAAGGCUUGGCACAACACUUAAGUUUCAGGAAGUGAGAAGCCGUGGUUUGGUGGUGGAGCUCCUUUACUCCAUGGUAGGACAGGCGGCAGCCUCAGGGAGCCCUGAGGCUUCUGGGAAUGAUAACCCCAGCUUACUUCUCCCACUCUUCUACCCUGCCUUUCCCUACAGACAUCUUGUGAGCCUUAUUCCCCUGCCCAGCCCAGGGCAUGCCCCAGUUCACUUUCGCCUGUUUCUGUGGUCUUCACGGCUUCUGCAAGAUGAAGAGGAAGAAGGAAGAAGUUCACAGAGAGAGGGAGACAGCGGUGUGACCAGGGCCCCCUUGUCAGCUCCCAGUGGCUCUGAGCUGUGGCACUCAGAGCCUGUGUCUUCUAUCUUUAUUUAACUGGUACCUGACCAACCUGAGAGACAUCAGUCUCUUGACUCUUCUUAUACCCAGCCCCGUUAGCUACCAAUCAUCUGUGCUCCUGAAGAGGCCUCAGCCACACAAGGGGAUUCCCAGGACCUGCCACUUGCCUUCUGGAGACUGGACGGCCUCGCUGGGAUCAAGGAACGAGGCUUUGGGGCUCUUCUCAGGGUGACCCUCCCAAGAAGCUUACAUGACCUUGGGAGGGCAAAGUGCUUGCUAAACAGCUAAGUAGCUGUUCUUGCAAACCUUGGAGGGUUUGAUGUAUGGGACGCCACCUCCAUGCACAAGAUGGGGUCUGUGCUGGAGCCCCAGGGUCUCAGCCCCUUCCUUGCAUCCUUGUGGGCCAGGACUGAGAUGGAGGACAGAAUUAGACAUUCGAGGGGUCAGGCAGCGGAAGGCUCUUCUGUGUGUCUGGCCCUGACCUACCAGUUGCGUGAAGCCCUCACCUUGACAGCACACAGAUGUGGCAAGACCUUUCCUCAGGGACUGUCCCUAGAACUAGGCCACACCACUGCCCCCAUUUUGUUUACUUACCCCCUGCCUCUUUCUCUCCUGUCCUUGGGAAACUGGAGAGGGUAUUAUGCUGGCAUGGGGACACCUUCCAAGGAUAGGGAACUCAAGGAAUGUCCUUGACUACCCCCCCCACCCCCCGUCCUCCCAGUCCACUGUCAACUCCCUGCUUCAGGAGCUUGCGUCCAUUUCUAGGCGUUCAGAGGCAAAAGCAUUUCCUUUCUCCUCCUUCCUUCCCCUCUCCUCCCCUGCUCAUUGUGCUUGGAUCUCUCAGGUGCUAGAGGAAGAGCUGGGAAUUAAGAAUGAACUCUUAGCAGCAGAGACCAGCUUCUGGUCUGCUAGCUUGCCGCCCUCCUCACUGGGACGAGCAGUUCUGCACACAUAGGAGUCACAUCUCCACCACCAUCAAGGACAGGACAGAUAAAGGCCUGGUAGGAAGGAGGGUCAGGGUCAAAGGUGGAGGAAGGUCUGAACUCAGAAGGGACACUGAGCAAACAGGGAAGGGUGCUACUCCUGGUCAGCGUGUUUCUUGGUCUUUCUGCAGAUUUACUGGGAUCGAGGUUGUCUCGGUGGAGCCUGAGCAGGGACCGAGAGCUUUACUCUUCUCCACUGGCUUUUCGCCUCUGCUUUCCCACCUGAACCACCUACUGUCUGUUAUUUGCUUUUAUAUUCAAAGAUUCAUAAACAAAUCCUUCCCUCAGGGAAAUAACAAGCUUCUGCAGCAAAGGCCAGUGGAGGUCACAGAGAACAAAGCCAACUUUCCAGUUUCUUUGUCCUCUGAGAUGGCGGAGGCCUUGGGGGAGGCAGAAAUGACAGAAAAGCUUUGGGGGCUACUUUGCUACAGAAGCCACAGAUCCUCUCCCCGCCCCCUCUCUAGCGUUGCUAGCUGCAGCCUGCCUUCAAGGCUGCAAUCAGAGAAGUCUCUCUGGAACUGGAGGAGGAAAUCAUAUCCCGUCACUAAGAAGGGUCGGGUGUUAUGUCCCAACCACAUAGGCUCACCCAGAGGACAGGUCAGAUAACAGAGAACUAAGGUCUGGGAGGGGCAGCACACUUGUGCUCACUUCCCAGCAGCCCCUGGGGUUGGCAGAGAGCUGCUCCCCCCAUCCCCCCAACAGGCGUGCCCUUGGUAUAGUAGAGACACUGGAUAUCUUGAGACCUUGCUGUAGGAACAUGGGUGGUUCAAGGUUUUGUUGAGUGUAGGCCCCACCACUGUUUGCGGGCCCGGUGUCCUUGCUCCUCCCUUCAUCCAGGGUAAGGUGUGUCGCCACGCUGCAGUAGACGUGGCCUGAGUAGGAGGGAGUAGUAGCAGCUUGCAAACACACACUCAUCAUUUUGACUGUUUUCUCCGGGAGAUGGGGAUUGUGUUCUCAGCAUCUAGGAAGCAGCUGGAAAUCCAUUUCCAGUUCUGUGUCUGGCUGGGUUCAGUAGAUUUUGUAUUAUCUGUUUAAAGUUCCCUCCACUCUGCCUGAGGGAAGCCCAGCCCGUGGGUCUUUUUCGACCCGACUUCGGUGGCCCUGUACCCAUAGGGUGAGGCAGGUGUACAUACCUUCCAUUCUUACACCUUGACGCUCUUGCUCUUUAGGGGGUGGAGCUCCGUGUUCUCACUUUUUUUUUUGGUUCAUUUUUUUUUUUUCGGAGCUGGGGACCGAACCCAGGGCCUUGCGCUUCCUAGGUAAGCGCUCUACCACUGAGCUAAAUCCCCAGCCCCUCCGAGUUCUCACUUAAACAGGGUUCAACUCUUGGGCUGCGGAACUAGUCAAUGGGAGUGGUGAAUAGAUGGCACUUGGGGUCAUUGGGACUUGAGUGUCUUCUCAGACCAUGGCCCAGUAUGCCCAAGGGCUUCUUGUCUCGGGUUGACGAUAGUUAAGUAGAAUGUCGUUUCCUGUUUCUACUAAAGGAGGCAGGCACUUUGAAUGUAUGGAUCCACAGAAAUCAAUAGAGAAAUUGUUAAUUUUUUUUAGAAGAGAAUAAAAAGCAAUAAUUUAACUGAAAUGGACAUAUGAGAUGUAAGGAUGCCCAAGCCAAGAGCAGGUCUCCCGGGUUCUGGCUCUGCUUGAGUGCCAAUGAUCCUGUGACCUUGGAUGAGUCAGGCCUUAUUUCUGGGACUGGCUUCUUCAACUAUAAAGGGAUGGCACCGAUGUCCUCUGAAGCCAGGUCUUUGUGGGAUGUCAGGUGUCCUGUGCCCCAGAGGACAGCAUAAAGUAACAAGCAGACCUGGAAGUGGUGCAUUGUUCGAGGAAAGCCUAGAUCAGAGCUUCCUCUACAACGUUCCUCCAGGGAGGGCUGGGACACCCUUCCUCCCUCCUAGAUAGACUAAAGGGAGUAGUCUGUGGCCGGUACUGACUCCAGGCCCUGUCUAGGCCAUGACAGCUGCCAUCUUUGGACUGUCCUAUGGCCCAGUUGCUGAAGAGAGUCAGAGGGCCUGACUCCCGCUUGGGUUCACUGUACAGCAGCCCAUAGACCAUCUCUUAAGGUGAUGGAACCAUCCUCCCCCACCCCUUCCAGUGUGAUUUAUACAGCAGUGAGUGGAUGGGAGGUGGUGUUGUGUGGGAUGGGACAACUUUCUUCUUCCCCUGGUGGUCCCCUUGCACUGACUCCUGAGUGACCGAAGAAACUGCUUCCACUAAAGAAUGAGUGCCGCACCUGCCCUCCCUACCCCACAUGAAGGGCACCUCACCAUGGAUGUAGCCAGGCAUGGCUGAAACUUAGAGAUGGACCCUUGGUUCCUAACCUCCGAGACAGGCCUUCACCUGGAAAGGGAGUCUGGACUGCUGCUCCAGGAAGUCUGCCAUUCACCCUGAAGGUUGCUGCUGUGUCUGGCAAGUGAUUGGGCUGAGUCACCUCAAGAACCAGUCUCUUCUAGAAAGGAACCUGCUGUAUCUUCAGUACACAAAGAAGACCACCAGUCAUAGCCACCACUUCUGUCACCUGGUCCUAAUGCAAGUUUUCAACUUCCAAUGUGUUGCUAACCAGUCUAACACCAGAAUGCCUGGCUUGUCAGAGCAAACCCACUGGUUCCCUAGACCAGCUAGAGUCAGUCGGUACCCACCAUGCAUGCUAGGGUUACUGCACAGGCCCCUUCCCUAGAUUCUUGUGAGAAACCAUUGGAUCCUCAGAGGAGGAACAAACAGAAAGGGAAGGCAGGAGAGUAGGCUAUCCACAAGUAGAAUGAGCCGGGGGCUGCCCAAAGCAGCUUUACACCAAAGAAAACAGUUCAGAAGCCAGGGAUCCUGUAACUUGAGCAGUCGGUCCUGGCAGAAGGAGCCAGGGUUUGAAAUCCAAGGGGUUUCCUAGUGGGCUUCUGGUCAGUUUCCUUCCCUGCUGGAGCAGCCUUCUCCCUUAGUUCAUUCCUGUAUUCUCUCUGAGGGGCGGGAGGAAUACCAGCAGGGGAGAUGGCAGGACCUAGACACAUCCUCAGGACUCUCCCAGCCUCCCUUGCCAUGGCAACGCUGCUAUUUUUAUCCUGUUGUUCAUGAUGCUCAAAGCUCUGACUUUCUCUGUUCCAGAGAGCCCAGCUGCCUUCUGCCCCCAUCCCUCAGCAUAGCACCUUCUCAAGGAGGCGAAGGGAUAACGAAGAAAGGGGGGGGGGCACAUUUAAGUUGUCCCUUAACCAGAGGGACCUAUUUGGUUUGCUGGCUUAAAUAACCAGUUUUGUGUUUUCUGAGAGGUUCGGCCUGUGAUCGAGUAGGAUGGGCCACUGCUCAGGAUGGCUCCCCAGUGAGCCCUGACAUGCACUGCUGCCUCUCUUGGGAACAUUCUGAGGAAUGUCCUGUUGGCAUAAGCAAUACGUGAAGAAUUCUGCCUGGCUAAUUAGCUGUCAGGUAACUUGAAUGCUGCUGUGGAAUCUAGGCUUCCAUCCCUCUACCAAGGAGCCAGGACAAAGGCACUUGCAUCUCUGUCCAAUCAUUCUACCCAAAGCAAGGCAGCCUCUCUUCCCCAGGCUAGAAAGCAGACUCCCUCCAAUUUAGCUACAUCCCCUUGAGAUCCCCACUCCAUACCGCUGCAAGGGGCUGGGAUGAAGCCCAAGGCCUCAGAACCACUAGAGGCAAAUGCUCUCCCACCGAGCUGCAUCUCUAGCCUGGAGCACAAUGUGUUCUUGAAGGCUGCAUUUAGCGAAAGGCAUUCUUAGCUGUUCCUUCUGCCGCCCUUUCCUGGCCCAGCCUUUGUUUUCCUGUGCCCCAAAUUCCACUACAGUGGCAGGGAAUCCCUGAGAAUCAUUGGUGCUAAUGGUCUCCAUCUAUACUCUCCUAUGUUGAUCAGGAGGGUGUGAACUCAGCAUGUGGGGUGGCUGGGUUAUGGGGUGCAUUCUAUGUAUAUCCCAAACACCUCGAUCCUGGAAAUGGGUCUGGAUCUUAACCCAGCCAAUCUACAUCUUGUUAACCUUUGCUUCGGCUGAGUUGGCUCCUGAAUGGUUCGUUUUCCUAGGGUGACUGAGACCCAUUUACUAAGCCUCGUUGGUUUUAUUUUGGCUCUAGCUAAAGUUUCCGAAAUCUAUGCAUCUGGAGUAAGCACUUUUCUGGUUGCCACUGAAAAGCAUGCUGGCAGAUUCUGCUCUGAUAAUUGCUGUAAUAAACACACUUUAUUACGUC